CGCAUCUGUGCAUGCAGCAUAUCAAUAAGCGGAGGAAAAGAAACUAACAAGGAUUCCCCUAGUAACGGCGAGUGAAGCGGGAAGAGCUCAAAUUUGAAAUCUUAAAGGGUUUCCCUUUACGAAUUGUAGUUUAAAGAAGUGUUUUCUGUUGAGGUUUUGGUAAAAGUUCUUUGGAAUAGGACAUCAUAGAGGGUGAGAAUCCCGUAUUUGACCUUUACUUUCAACUUUGUGAUACACUUUCAAAGAGUCGGAUUGUUUGGGAAUGCAGUCCAAAAUGGGUGGUAAAUUUCAUCUAAAGCUAAAUAUUGGCGAGAGACCGAUAGCGAACAAGUACCGUGAGGGAAAGAUGAAAAGAACUUUGAAAAGAGAGUUAAACAGUACGUGAAAUUGUCAAAAGGGAAGCGUUUGACACCAGUGUUGUUUUUCUGAAAAUCAAUUAAAGAACUGUUUAUGCUAAGUUGUUUAGACUUUAUCAGCUAAUCUGCUUAGUUUUGAGCUUUUCUUUAAUGCACUUUUCAGUUAACAAGUCAACAUCAAUUUCUUUUGCUGUAAAAAAGCUUGAGGAAGGUGGCUUGAGAUUCGUCUUAAGUGUUUAUAGCCUCUUGCCUAUGCAGUCGGAGAGAUUGAGGUCUGCAGCGUAGAUCCUUCGGGGCUAAAUGCAUUUGUGCUAAGUUAUAGCAUUUUAUAGACAACUUGUUGACUAUGAUUUGUCUUGUAGCUUACUCGCUUAUGUUAUUUUACCUACGCUUAGGAUGUUGAAUCUGUGCGAGACUAC
rnacentral:rRNA from 1 species